AAAGAUGUUUCUUAGCUUCCCAAAGAUUAUUACCAAUUUCUUGAUGCUCCUUCCCUUUGUUACAUUCUAUAGCCUUGGCAGCAGAAUUCUUUCUUUUACUGAAGCUCAUGGGGUGUCUGGCAAUUAUUUCAGUAAAGAAAUGUUCUUUAGCUGCAGAACUUCUUCCAUUGUUACGAUUGUUUGAACCUUCUUGCCGCUCUCUUCCCAUGGCAUUUCUCAACCUUCUUUUGAUCUGAGUGAGGGAAAAAUGGGAGGAAUUGCUCCUCUCAAUACCUCCCUUGGUCAUUUCAGACUGAUGUGAUGAGCCAAGACCGAUUUUAGUUUCCAUAUUCUGCAGUCCCGGCUUCAAAAUGACAAUCCUGUUCGUAGCUUGAGGCGAGUUGUUUCCUAAAGGAACGGUCUUUUCGAGCGAUUUCGACUUUUUCCUGAAGAAUUUCCGCUGUUUUGUUGUUGCUGCUGCUGAAACUUCACUGGCUUGCUCUGGUGAAUGCUCAUCAUCAUUCUGUAACUGAGAAUUCCUCGGCUUCUUCUCGAAGUAUUUCCCAAGAAAUGAUCUUUGCCCCUGCAGGAAUUGCAGAACCAAUUCCUCGUCGGAGCUUAUAAUUCGAAGUGCAUCCCGGAGUUCCUGAGAGUGAUGAACAUCUUCAUUGACAUUAUCCUCCGCUUGAUGAUUCCUGUCACCGGCGAGUCUUUGACUAAUAAAAAGAGUCAAGAUCUCCUUGAGUUUCUCUUCAA
rnacentral:lncRNA from 1 species